UUGACCUCAAAUCAGGUAGGACUACCCGCUGAACUUAAGCAUAUCAAUAAGCGGAGGAAAAGAAACUAACAAGGAUUCCCCUAGUAACUGCGAGUGAACCGGGAAAAGCUCAAAUUUUGAAUCUGGCGGUCUUCAGGCCGUCCGAGUUGUAAUCUAGAGAAGCGUCU
rnacentral:rRNA from 1 species